UGGCUCAGUUGGUAGAGCAUGGUGUGUGCAACGCCAGGGUUGUGGGUUCGAAUCCCAC
rfam:Salmo salar isolate Sally breed double haploid chromosome ssa18, whole genome shotgun sequence.